rnacentral:misc_RNA from 1 species
AAGGAUCAUUACCGAGAAAAUCCAGUUGUGUUGUUGCUGUCCUUCCUGGAAUGUGCACACCCAGCUGUUGUUUCCAACCUUCUUCACCUGUGCACCUCUUUGUAGACCGGUUUGCAGUCUGAUCCGCAUUUGAUCGAUUUGAGGAUUUGCUGUUCAAUCCUUGGACGGCUCUUCCCUUGCACGCAGCCGGCCUAUGUAUGCCCAUUUACAAACGCCACAUGUGCCAGAAUGUACUCUGUAUGUUUCAAUAUACAGUACAACUUUCGACAACGGAUCUCUGGGCUCUC